GAUGAAGAACGUAGCGAAAUGCGAUAAGUAAUGUGAAUUGCAGAAUUUAGUGAAUCAUCGAAUCUUUGAACGCACAUUGCGCCCCUUGGUAUUCCGAGGGGCAUGCCUGUUCGAGCGUCAUUAUAACCCUCAAGCUCAGCUUGGUGUUGGGGCCUGCUGCACUGGCAGCCCUUAAAAUCAGUGGCGGCGCCAUCUGGCUCUAAGCGUAGUAAUUCUUCUCGCUAUGGAGUCCUGGUGGAUGCUUGCCAUCAACCCCCAAUUUUUCUAUGGUUGACCUCGGAUCAGGUAGGGAUACCCGCUGAACUUAAGCAUAUCAAUAAGCGGAGGA
rnacentral:misc_RNA from 1 species